GUGACCUAUUCCUCUUCUUCUUUAUUUUUUAGUUUUGAUAUUUUCAUUGUGUAGUUGGAUGGUCCUGAAUGUUUUUUAUUUAUGAGAUAUAAAUAGCUUGAUAAGAUUUAGAAUUCAGAAUUUAAAAUUAAAGAUUAGAUGGGUGCUUCAAUUUUUUUGAAAUAUUUAUUUUUUAAUUUUGACUUAAUUUAUUUUCUAUUUUUUUCUAUCUAGGAUUCUAAUUGUAUAAAAAACUUAAUUUU
rnacentral:lncRNA from 1 species